UACGAAGGGGGCUAGCGUUGUUCGGAAUUACUGGGCGUAAAGCGCGCGCAGGCGGUCUUCCAAGUCAGUGGUGAAAGCCCGGAGCUCAACUCCGGAACUGCCAUUGAAACUGUUAGACUUGAGGACGAGAGAGGUGAGUGGAAUUCCCAGUGUAGAGGUGAAAUGCGUAGAUAUCGGGAGGAACACCUGUGGCGAAAGCGGCUCACUGGACCGCAACUGACGCUGAGGCGCGAAAGCUAGGGGAGCAAACAGG
rnacentral:rRNA from 1 species